UGCAUAUAUGUGACAGGUCUGGAGCAGUACUGUCUGCUCCUAAGAUUUCCAUUAUGGAUGCAAGGAAAACGUGCCCUUAUGAUUUCUGUCUCUCGGUGGCAGCCAAGACCGAGUGAGGGCAUACAGGA